GGCACCGGCUCGAGGCAGGACAAGGAACAAGGCGCUGGCCGUGGCACCAGGUCCAGCUGGGUGGCUGCAGGUCUGGCUCAGUGCUCUGCUGUGUGGGAUCCAGAGCCUCCUUUCCACCCAGGACUGGCACUUUCGUUUUGCACAGGUCCCUGCAAGGAUGGCCUCGGCCCCUAUCUGCUCAUCAUCUUACAGAAGAAACAGUCGGCUCACUCUGCUAGCUGUGUCACCAAGGCUGGGAUCCAGCACCUGUGCUGUGACUCAUGGAACAUGCAGCCUCUAGUUCCUGGGCUAUCUCCCCCAGCUCAGCAGAUAGACGCAGACAACCCGACACCCUUCCAGCCACACAGGGCAGCCACUUGGAGGACCUCAGUUCUGGAGCAGUGUUGGGUUUUGCCUGUGGGAACUCUGUCACCUCUCUUGGAUCUGCACUCUGACCUUUGCAGCUCGACAGGGACAGAGCUGAAGGAGGGACCUGCAGGAAAGACGCACCUAAAAGAAGCCAUGCACGGAACAAUCCUGCUCCUUUUGGCCUGUCCUAAAGGUUCCUUGUGGCUGGUGCCAAGUGCUGUUCCGAACACUACCUACACUCACCGCUUUAAUCUGCACAUCUCCGCUCCUCGGGUUUACAAGUCAUCCUUGGAAUCCAGCAGAGAAGUCAAAGGACUUGCCCAAGAUAACAGGUAGGCGGAGCCAGGCUGGAAUUCAGCAGUCUGACUGCAUAGCCCUCUUGAAACAGCGACACGAAACCACUGCUCUUGUAGCGCUCGGCCAAGGCGACCUGUUU